GUUGUUGUUAGUUGUUGUUGUUAUUGGUUGUUGUUAUUGGUUGUUGUUGUUAUGGAUAGAUGGUGUUAUUAUUUACAUAUAACUGUUACUAAUUUUUCAGCGAAAUCGACAAGGUUGCAGAUGGUAUCGGUUAUAAACUGGGCAACAUGGUAUCUAGCAUUGUAUCACUGAUAGCCGGUUACAUUAUUGCCUUUAUUUAUUGUUGGCAACUGUCACUUGUAUUAGCAGCUUUGUUUCCAGUAAUGAUUGUUAUUGGAUCAUUGAUGGCAAAGGUAUGUUUAGCUAGCACGAUUUAAAUUAAGGCUGUUUUUCAUUACUGAUAAAGCUAGUCAGUAU